AUUGAACGCUGGCGGCAUGCCUUACACAUGCAAGUCGAACGGCAGCACGGGAGCAAUCCUGGUGGCGAGUGGCGAACGGGUGAGUAAUAUAUCGGAACGUGCCUAGUAGUGGGGGACAACCAUUCGAAAGAGUGGCUAAUACCGCAUACGCACUCUGGUGGAAAGUGGGGGAUCGCAAGACCUCACGCUAUUAGAGCGGCCGAUAUCAGAUUAGGUAGUUGGUGGGGUAAAGGCCUACCAAGCCUGCGAUCUGUAGCUGGUCUGAGAGGACGACCAGCCACACUGGGACUGAGACACGGCCCAGACUCCUACGGGAGGCAGCAGUGGGGAAUUUUGGACAAUGGGCGCAAGCCUGAUCCAGCCAUGCCGCGUGUGGGAAGAAGGCCUUCGGGUUGUAAACCACUUUUGUCAGGGAAGAAACGGCUCUAGCUAAUAUCUGGAGCUAAUGACGGUACCUGAAGAAUAAGCACCGGCUAACUACGUGCCAGCCGCCGCAGUAA
rnacentral:rRNA from 1 species